rnacentral:rRNA from 1 species
GUGUCAGCAGCCGCGGUAAAACGUAGGUACCGAGCGUUAUCCGGAUUCACUGGGCGUAAAGCGCGUGCAGGUGGUAUGGUAAGUCGGGCAUGAAAACUCUUGGCUCAACUAAGAGACGCUGUCCGAUACUGCUAAACUUGAGGGUGUAAGAGGGAGGUGGAAUUCCGCAUGUAGUGGUGAAAUGCGUAGAUAUGCGGAGGAACACCAGUGGCGAAGGCGGCCUCCUGGUACACUCCUGACACUCAGACGCGAAAGCUAGGGGAGCGAACGGGAUUAGAAACCCUUGUAGUCC